rnacentral:rRNA from 1 species
GCUGGCGGCGUGCCUAACACAUGCAAGUCGAACGUGAAGGCCGAAAUGAUUACUUCGGUUUGAUUUUCGGUUGGAAAGUGGCGAACGGGUGAGUAACACGUGGGUAACCUGCCUCGAAGCGGGGGACAACCAUUGGAA